rnacentral:rRNA from 1 species
UACGAAGGGGCUAGCGUUGCUCGGAAUCACUGGGCGUAAAGGGUGCGUAGGCGGGUCUUUAAGUCAGGGGUGAAAUCCUGGAGCUCAACUCCAGAACUGCCUUUGAUACUGAAGAUCUUGAGUCCGGGAGAGGUGAGUGGAACUGCGAGUGUAGAGGUGAAAUUCGUAGAUAUUCGCAAGAACACCAGUGGCGAAGGCGGCUCACUGGCCCGGUACUGACGCUGAGGCGCGACAGCGUGGGAGCAAACAGG